rnacentral:rRNA from 1 species
UACGUAGGGAGCAAGCGUUGUUCGGAUUUACUGGGCGUAAAGCGUGCGCAGGCGGUUCUCCAAGUCCGUUGUGAAAGCCCCGGGCUCAACCUGGGAAUGGCAGUGGAAACUAGGGGACUGGAAUCUGGCAGAGGGGGGUGGAAUGCCGCGUGUAGCAGUGAAAUGCGUAGAGAUGCGGCGGAACACCGAUGGCGAAGGCAGCCCCCUGGGCUGAGAUUGACGCUCAGGCACGAAAGCGUGGGGAGCAAACAGG